GCCCCGGCGGGGCGGGAGGGUCCGGGCGGUGGAGUCGCCGUGUCCCGGCGGCGUGGUGUGGAGCCCCUGCCGGGGCGGCGGGAACGAGCGCCUCGUAGAACUGCUACUCCCAGAGCAGCCCGGGCCCCCCAUCUCCGCCCAGCCGCGCUCUCAGGCUCCGAGCACUACAACUCCCGGCAUGCCGUGAACUUGACGGCCGCGCCUCCCGGGCGGAGUCCGGCCCUCCCGGCCGCCCGGCUCCCCCGCCCUGUCCCAGCCGCUCCUCAGACCGCGCGCGGAGCUGGGAUGCAAGCCAUGGAGGAGACACCGCCCCCGUUGCUGGGCAGCAACAAGCCGCACCUGGAGAAGCUGACCUUGGGGGUCACCCGCAUCCUAGAAUCAUCCCCAGGUGUGACAGAGGUGACCAUCAUAGAAAAGGCGCCUGCUGAACGUCAUAUGAUUUCUUCAUGGGAACAAAAAAAUAACUGUGUGCUGCCUGAGGAUCUGAAAAACUUUUACCUGAUGACCAAUGGCUUCCACAUGACAUGGAAUGUGAAGCUGGAUGAACAUACCAUUCCAUUGGGCAGCAUGGCAAUUAACAGCAUCUCAAAACUGACUCAACUCAACCAGUCUUCCCUGUACUCACUUCCUAACGCACCAACUCUUGCAGACCUGGAGGACGAUACACAAGAAGAACAGUGGAAACAACACGCAAAAGUAGCUCAACUGAUAUUUCACUUCCUGAUAUGUACACAUUCUAUCAACACUCUGAACUUACUGAUGACUAAGGAAGGACUGAAAGAGAAAUUUUGAGCUGCCCUAUGUUUUCCUUCUGUGUCAUCAUUUCAGCUUGACUGACACUGGGAGAGUACCAAUCCAAAUUGGAAUCUUGUGAUUAAUUUCCUUUGGCUUAAGCCAACGCAGACUGGAUUCUGUUUUUCCCACCAAGCAUUCUCUGGUUAACACAUCAGCCUUCAUUAUGGAGUUACUGUGAAGAUUAAAUACACAGCAUGAAGAGUGGCAAAGAAUACCUUGGAGAGCAACCAGAGCAGGGACACAAACAGCCCUCAGAAUAGUUCAAGACCAACACAGACACCUCGUCCCUCAAGCAAAAGCUGCACAGUGAGGGACAAUCUAUUAAGGGCAAGAUUAAACCUCUGGGAAAACAGCUUACCUUUACCAAGGCUCCAGUUCCCAACUUUAUACUUUUAAACUGUGUUUUCUUUAAAUGAGGUCAUCCCUUGGGAGAGACGGAGAUACAGAUUGCACUUGAGGGUCUCUGUUUAAGUCUCUGGUGGUUCCUGAGGCACACCUGCUCCCAUAGGUGGCUCUAGACCAUGGCCACGCAGGUUCUAGACAGAGUGUUGGGAUUCUAGAAUAUAGGCUUGUUGAACAACUUAAUAAGAAAAACUGUUUUCCUUUAAACAUGUGAUUCUAAAACAGACUGCUGUGACCUUAAUUACCAUCCUCACAAAUCAUGUUUUUGGCCAUUUAAAAAAAUGGGAAAUCACCUUCAAUAUUAUAAUAUCAAUAAUAGGAAAAAUUCAAUCAAGCACAAGACAAAUUUAAAAAUUAGUCUUACAACAUUCUUCUAUAAACACAAGCUUAUAAAGCUUAAUUUAACCCAAAGGUGAACUUCCAUUUACAGAUGUUGAUUUAGGAAGUUGUUUAAACUUCUAUAACCUUUACAGAUUUCAGGACAAGUUCUUCUUCCAUAGAUAGACAAGUUGUUUUUUAUACCACCUACUGACGGGCUUCUAGAUCAGAGCCCAUUUUCCACUGAGACUGCAUAUCUGAGGAUGGUUUACACUGGGAAUGGACUCCUUUAUUCCCUUGUCACUUCCAAUCUUAGGCCUAAUGUUCUGAGCCAAGAAGCGCUCUGAUGUUGGUUGAAUUCCUCUAAUUCUGUAGCCAGGUCUACCACCAGCUGCUGUGUGCUGAGCUCCAGUCAAAAUGACCUAAAUCAGCAUACCAUCAAGGACACCAUUUUUUUCUGAGGCUGGAUAGAACAGCUACAAAAGCUUGCCCAGGCAUCCAUCUCUUUCUGUAUAGCAACAUUUUAGAUUCUUAUUUGAAACUUGGGGUUUACAAAAAUAUAAUUUUUCCAUUGGGUACUCAAUUCAAAUGUUUUUUGGAAGGGGUGACUGCUUCUGUCUCCUAGCCCACUGCCGUGCCCAGAAGUGUCUGGCUGUCACCCUGUGGAACCCCCCUCCCAGAAAGCAGCACAGGGUUAAAAAGCAUUUCUAGGCAGAGUCUCUCUGAAGGAAAAUGAGACUUCUGGUCUGUUUUCUGAAAGAGCAAUAGCCAAGGCCUCUGCUUAGCUAGGCCAACUGAAUAGUCCAAGUACUGCAGUGACCUAUCGCAGUCCAAGAAAGCCUGCCGCUCACAGAGGAACAGAAGGUGUCCUACUUACCUCGUGGUGGAUUUAAUGCCAUACCUUUAAUGUGCUGCGCCAAUCCUCUGUGGAAUAUCUUUAUUUUCUUCCAGUUUUAUUUAGAUAUAAUUGACAUAUAGCCCUGUGUAUGUUUAAAGUAUACAGCCUAAUGAUUUGACUUACAUACAUCAUGAAAUGAUUACACAGUAAGUUUAGUGAACAUCCAUCCUCUCAUAUAGAUGCAAAAUUAAAGAAACAGAAAAAAAGUAUUUUUUCUUGUGAUAAGAAUUCGUAGGAUUUACUCUCUUAACAACUUCAUAUAUAAUAUAUAGCAGUGUUAAUUAUAUUUAUCAUGUACGUUACAUCCCUAGGACUUAUUUACCUUAUCUGGAAGUUUGUACCUUUUGACUGCCUUCAUCCAAUUCCUCCUCCCCCCACCUGCUGCCUCUGGUAACCACAAAUCUGAUCUCUUUUUCUAAGAGUUUGUUUUGAAGUAUAAUUGGCCUAUAACACCAUGUUAGUUUUUUCCUAGGGUACAACACAGUGAUUCAAUAUUUCUAUACAUUUCAAAAUGAUCACAAGUCUAGUUACCAUCUGUCACCAUACAAAAAUAUUAUGUAAUUAUUGACUAUAUUCCCCACACUGUAUAUUUCAUACCUGUGACUCAUUUAUUUUAUAACUGGAAGUUUGUACCUCUUAAUUUCCCUCACCUAUCUCUCUCCUUCCCCCAACUCCUUCCCCUCUGGCAAACACCUGUUUGUUCUCUGUAUCUAUGAGUCUGUUUCUGUUUUGUUUGUUCAUUUGUUUUCAUGUAUAGAUUUCACAUUAAAGUAAAAUCAUAUGGUA